UACGGAGGGGACUAGCGUUGUUCGGAAUUACUGGGCGUAAAGCGCACGUAGGCGGAUUUGUAAGUCAGGGGUGGAAAUCCCGGGGCUCAACCUCGGAACUGCCUUUGAUACUGCAAAUCUCGAGUCCGGAAGAGGUGAGUGGAAUUCCUAGUGUAGAGGUGAAAUUCGUAGAUAUUAGGAAGAACACCAGUGGCGAAGGCGGCUCACUGGUCCGGUACUGACGCUGAGACGCGAAAGCGUGGGGAGCAAACAGGG
rnacentral:rRNA from 1 species